AAGUCUUUACGGAGAAAGCUUUAUGCACCAUUGGAUGAGCCUGCACUAGAUUAGUUUGUUGGUGGGGUAAUGGCCUACCAAGACUGUGAUCUAUAGCUGAUUUGAGAGGAUGAUCAGCCACAUUGGGACUGAGACACGGCCCAAACUCCUACGGGAGGCAGCAGUGGGGAAUCUUGCACAAUGGAGGAAACUCUGAUGCAGCGAUGCCGCGUGAGUGAAGAAGGCCUUUGGGUUGUAAAG
rnacentral:rRNA from 1 species